CAAAAUAAUCACGGCUUCAGUAGCAUUGACAUCUUAAUAAUUUCUGUUGUAAAUCUCGUUGGAAUCGAUGGACUGCAUAGUAAUUAUAUAAGUACAUUCGUUUGAAAUGGAAAACAUUCUACUUGGUAUAUUCGUUCUUCUGCUAACAGCAACACCUUCAGUGCAUCCCAUAGUAUGCUACAGCUGUAGUGCCAAGUUAAACAAAAACUGCAAAGAACCCGUGGUGUAUUGUCCACCUUGGAGAUUCGACAGAUGUCUGAAAAUCAGCGUUGGAUCUAACAUUGGCAAAAGCUGCGCCAAUCAAAGUGCAUGCUUCUCGUUGUGCAUGGGACGCUUGAACUGUAAGAUUGACUGCUGUACAGAAGACUAUUGUAAUGCAGGCUCUUCAACAAAGCCUUUCUUAUUUUUACCCUGGACAAUAGCAUUAUCUGUAAAAUGGAUGACAUAACUACCGUUGUUUUUGUUGUUGUUGUUGUUGUUUUUUUUUUCUUCUUCUUCUUUUUUUUUAAUCAAAAACAGCAAAGAAACCGAAACAUUUUGGCAGUUUCGAAUUUGUCUGUAGUUUAGUGUUAGCCUCGAAUUUGUGUUAAAUAUUCACGUGUUCGAGAGAAAUUUUUUGGAUUUCCAAAAAGUUUGCAUACCAGUCUUGAAAUUUUCUCCCAAAUAUAAUUGCCGUUCGUGUAGGCAUGAAACCUGCAUUCAUAUUUUGCAAACUUACCUUAUUUGAAAGUGAAGAUAGACUUCUGUUGGGUGAUUUUCCAGCCAUUUAAAGCUUUAAAAUGUCGAAAAUAUGAAUCAAAACCUGCAGUUAUUAUAGCGAAGAAACACUUGAAAUUCAGUGUUAUCCACCAAAUAAAACUGUUUUUCAUGGUGUGCCCAUCAACUCUAUAUUCAUAUUUGGUUAGCUUACCUUAUUUAAAAGUGAACAUAGACUUCUGUUUGGUGAUUUUCCAGCCAUUUCAAGCUUUAAAAUGUUGAAAAUAUGAAUCAAAACUUGCAGAUAUUACAGCGAAGAAACACUUGAAAUUGUCCACCAUCUUGAAUUUGGCUUGUAGACCUGGCCUCUGACAAAGGAAGCCCAAACAACCACAGGGUUCCCACGUGAACGACAAUAUAGGUUUGACUUCAUUGUUGAAGUUGUACAUUAUUUACUCCACCGUUGAAGUUUGUAAAAAUUCUAUUUUGCUAAUUCAUAAUUGUAUUAAAGUUAACAAACAUGCAAGCCGAUAAUCGAUAGACUGCAAUCUUGGGCAAAACCUGUAGAGAAAAUUACUAAUUAAAAAAUCAACAUUUU